rnacentral:rRNA from 1 species
GACGAACGCUGGCGGCGUGCUUAACACAUGCAAGUCGAACGGGAACCUUUAUUUCGGUAAAGGUGAGAGUGGCAAACGGGUGAGUAACACGUAGGCAACCUGCCGACAGGAUGGGGACAACAUUCCGAAAGGAAUGCUAAUACCGAAUGGAGUCCGAGGAUGGCAUCAUCCUUGGAUCAAAGAUGGCCUCUUAACAAUGCUAUCGCCUGUCGAUGGGCCUGCGUCUGAUUAGCCAGUUGGCGGGGUAACGGCCCACCAAAGCGACGAUCAGUAGCCGGUCUGAGAGGAUGAACGGCCACAUUGGGACUGAGACACGGCCCAGACUCCUACGGGAGGCAGCAGUGGGGAAUCUUCCACAAUGGGCGAAAGCCUGAUGGAGCAACGCCGCGUGAGUGAAGAAGGUCUUCGGAUCGUAAAGCUCUGUUGCACGGGACGAAAACUGGGUUGAAAACAUUGAACCUGGGUGACGUACCGAGCGAGAAGCC